GAGUUUGAUCAUGGCUCAGAAUGAACGCUGGCGGCAGGCCUAACACAUGCAAGUCGAACGGAGUUAUAUUGUAGCUUGCUAUGGUAUAACUUAGUGGCAGACGGGUGAGUAAUGUAUAGGAAUCUACCUAGUAGUACGGAAUAAUUGUUGGAAACGGCAACUAAUACCGUAUACGCCCUACGGGGGAAAAAUUUAUUGCUAUUAGAUGAGCCUAUAUUAGAUUAGUUAGUUGGUGAGGUAAAGGCUUACCAAGACAAUGAUCUACAGCUGAUCUGAGAGGAUGAUCAGCCACACUGGAACUGAGAUACGGUCCAGACUCCUACGGGAGGCAGCAGUGGGGAAUAUUGGACAAUGGGCGAAAGCCUGAUCCAGCUAUGCCGCAUGAGUGAAGAAGGCCUUCGGGUUGUAAAGCUCUUUUAGUGAGGAAGAUAAUGACGGUACUCACAGAAGAAGUCCUGGCUAACUCCGUGCCAGCAGCCGCGGUAAUACGGAGAGGGCUAGCGUUAUUCGGAAUUAUUGGGCGUAAAGGGCGCGUA
rnacentral:rRNA from 1 species